rnacentral:rRNA from 1 species
UACGGAAGUGGCAAGCGUUAUCCGGAAUUAUUGGCCGUAAAGCGUCCGCAGGCGGUCUGUCAAGUCUGCUGUUAAAGCGUGGAGCUUAACUCCAUUACGGCAAUGGAAACUGACAGACUAGAGUGUGGUAAGAGCAGAGGGAAUUCCCGGUGUAGCGGUGAAAUGCGUAGAUAUCGGGAAGAACACCAGUGGCGAAGGCGCUCUGCUGGUCCAUAACUGACGCUCAUGGACGAAAGCCAGGGGAGCGAAAGGGAUUAGAUACCCCUGUAGUCCUGGCCGUAAACGAUGAACACUAGGUGUCGGGGGAAUCGACCCCCUCGGUGUCGUAGCCAACGCGUUAAGUGUUCCGCCUGGGGAGUACGCACGCAAGUGUGAAACUCAAAGGAAUUGACGGGGGCCCGCACAAGCGGUGGAGUAUGUGGUUUAAUUAGAUGCAACGCGAAGAACCUUCCCAGGGUUUGACAUCCUGCGAAUCUCUUGGAAACGAGAGAGUGCCUUCGGGAGCGCAGUGACAGGUGGUGCAUGGCUGUCGUCAGCUCGUGUCGUGAGAUGUUGGGUUAAGUCCCGCAACGAGCGCAACCCACGUCGUUAGUUGCCAGCAUUUAGUUGGGCACUCUAGCGAGACCGCCGGUGAUAAACCGGAGGAAGGCGUGGAUGACGUCAAGUCAUCAUGCCCCUUACAUCCUGGGCUACACACGUACUACAAUGCUACGGACAAAGGGCAGCAAACUCGCGAGAGCUAGCAAAUCCCAUAAACCGUGGCUCAGUUCAGAUCGUAGGCUGCAACUCGCCUCCGUGAAGGAGGAAUCGCUAGUAAUCGCAGGUCAGCAUACUGCGGUGAAUACGUUCCCGGGCCU